rnacentral:sRNA from 1 species
UGGUCAAAAAUGAAUCUGCUU